CACACACACACACACACAUACAGUACGAUACUCACACACAGGUUAUGGCUUUCCAAGCAGUUUGAGCUUGUUUAAUCUCAUCCCUGUAUACAUUCUUUGUGAUUAAACCUUUAUAGACAAAUAUAAACGCAGAUGAUGAAGACCUUCAAUUAGUACCAAUACAGAGUCAUCUUAGCAUACAGUCAUUUCUAUUCAAGGUACCGUAGAUAUCUUUUGGUUGAAAGAAAGAAAGGUGUUUAUUAUACAUAGAGACAGAAAUAUACAACAUGUGCAGGUGGACGUAUGGAUCUCACCCACAGUUAUUAACAUUUUCAAAUGACCAAAGGACCGUUAACUGGUUAUGCUGCUAUCUUUUGUUCUUUUGGCCGCCUGCUGAAAAAGUAGACUGUAGCAUCCAAAUGAGAGAGCUUCACGGUAGCUUGCUUAUGGUCACGGAUACUAUACCAACACUUAGAACACUGAGUAGGCUUUACAGUUUAGAGUUUAGACUAGUGUUGAAGACACACAAUGUAAUCAUCCCCCAUCCCCGCCCCUAAAUUUGUGGUCUGUUAAUCCAAGAAAAGAUUAAGUUGAGAACCAAUUCAAAAAAGUGUGACUGAUAGCAGAAAUAUGUCUCUCUUUGUCCUUUUGCUUUAACUCUAGCCCAUUUACCUCCUGCUCAUUCCUUUUCUCUCUGCAACAAUUUAUUUUCUGUCAAUCUGUCUUCUUUUAAUUAUCUCGUUCAUUCCCGCUCUACCUCCUCUGGUGUGAAAAGCGCAAGCGUUGAAAAUGAUCAGCUUCAGUCCUCUAGGAUUUCGUGUCUCAGGCUGAGGGAGAGUUGCUCCCGAAGAAUGGACUUCAUGGCCUCUCCUACUAAAGGUCCUUUUUCAAGCCUCUGUGCUUUAUCACAGUUGUGGUCCGCUCUAACAUUACAUCAAAUAAACAACAAAUUCACAAUUGCAAAAAUUUCAAUAUUUUCCACCUCUUUUUUCUUUUUUUCUCUCACUUUCAUAAAUACCAUUUUUGUCAACUGCCCAGAGAUUCAGCCUUCUUAAUAUCAGUCUCAGAAAUAACACCUUCUGCUUUUGGGAUCAGCUUGUGGGUGGAUGACCUCUUUUUCUUCUCCUGGCACUUCUAUAAGGCAUGCUGGGCCAGGACC
ensembl:lncRNA